rnacentral:rRNA from 1 species
GCACAAGCGGUGGCAUGUGGAUUAAUUCGAUGCAACGCGAAGAACCUUACCAAGGCUUGACAUAUACCUGAAAAGGCUGGAAACAGUCUCCCCGCAAGGCAGGUAUACAGGUGGUGCAUGGUUGUCGUCAGCUCGUGUCGUGAGAUGUUGGGUUAAGUCCCGCAACGAGCGCAACCCUCGUCCUAUGUUGCCAGCACGUAAUGGUGGGAACUCAUAGGAGACUGCCGGGGUCAACUCGGAGGAAGGUGGGGAUGACGUCAAAUCAUCAUGCCCCUUAUGUCUUGGGCUUCACGCAUGCUACAAUGGCCGGUACAAAGGGCUGCAAUACCGUAAGGUGGAGCGAAUCCCAAAAAGCCGGUCUCAGUUCGGAUUGAGGUCUGCGACUCGACCUCAUGAAGUCGGAGUCGCUAGUAAUCGCAGAUCAGCAACGCUGCGGUGAAUACGUUCCCGGGC